AGGGUUUGAUCCUGGCUCAGGAUGAACGCUAGCGGCAGGCUUAACACAUGCAAGUCGAGGGGUAACAGGAGUAGCUUGCUAUUUGCUGACGACCGGCGCACGGGUGCGUAACGCGUAUAGAAUCUACCUUAUACUGGGGGAUAGCCUUUGGAAACGAAGAUUAAUACCCCAUAGUAUUAUUUUUUGGCAUCAUUAAAUAAUUAAAGUUUCGGCGGUAUAAGAUGACUAUGCGUUCUAUUAGUUAGUUGGUAAGGUAACGGCUUACCAAGACUUCGAUAGAUAGGGGUCCUGAGAGGGAGAUCCCCCACACUGGUACUGAGACACGGACCAGACUCCUACGGGAGGCAGCAGUGAGGAAUAUUGGACAAUGGAGGCAACUCUGAUCCAGCCAUGCCGCGUGUAGGAAGACGGCCAUAUGGGUUGUAAACUACUUUUAUAUGGGAAGAAUAAGGUCUACGUGUAGAUCGAUGACGGUACCAUAAGAAUAAGCACCGGCUAACUCCGUGCCAGCAGCCGCGGUAAUACGGAGGGUGCAAGCGUUAUCCGGAAUCAUUGGGUUUAAAGGGUCCGUAGGCGGGCAUAUAAGUCAGUGGUGAAAGUCUGUGGCUCAACCAUAGAAUUGCCAUUGAUACUGUAUGUCUUGAAUUAUUGUGAAGUGGUUAGAAUAUGUAGUGUAGCGGUGAAAUGCUUAGAGAUUACAUAGAAUACCGAUUGCGAAGGCAGAUCACUAACAAUAUAUUGACGCUGAUGGACGAAAGCGUAGGUAGCGAACAGGAUUAGAUACCCUGGUAGUCUACGCCGUAAACGAUGGAUACUAGUUGUUUGGCCUUCGGGCUGAGUGACU
rnacentral:rRNA from 1 species